rnacentral:lncRNA from 1 species
AUUUGUCAUUACAAACAACAGACUUAACUCGAACUUGAUGAACUUGUAUAAUCUAUUUUAGUAAGAGACUUAGAAUAAUACCAACAUAAGAUGCCCAAAAAAAAAGAAUAAUACCAACAAAUACAUCAAUAUGUUUUAUGUUUUCCUGUUGAAACUUACAAGAUUAAAAAGACUACAAGUAAUUGCAAAGGCUGUUUCACCAUCUAUUUUUUCAAAACGAUUUAUUUCAUGUUGAAAACCAUAUAUACCUCAUAAAAUUAUUUUUAAUAUUUUCACUAUAUCCAUCAUUCAUCUUCUUAUGCAACUCCACAAC